GUGGAGAGAGAUCGGGAGGGAAGCUGGUGAAGCCGCGGAUAUUCAUGAGAACGGAGAGUGGGUUUUUUCUCGCCCCCCACCUCUCUCUCUCUUUCUCUCUCUCUCUCUCUCUUUCUCUCUCUCUCUCUCUCUCUGUCUUUCACUCUGUCUGUCUUUCUCUGUAUGUGUGUCUUUCUCUCCCUCUCUUUCUCUGUGGUGAUACACUGCAAUGUCUGCAGACAGACAGACGAACGAACAGGAGACAGAGACUGAAGGAGACGAGUAAAAGCGAGACAAGGCCCAGCCCUUCUCCCCAUUGAUCUUCUGGCGAUCAAGACCUGUUAUCGCUCUGUGCAUCUCCGCUGACUCUGCUGUGAAGAUUCCCCCACUCCUCCCCCAAAUCCACCCCUUUUAUUUUUUUAUUUUUAUUUAUUUUUUUUACCGGGAGGGUGUGUUCUCUGUGACCCCGGUAAAAGUCGUUUCCACCACUACAGUAUGUGUCUUUUAUCGGAAGCACCGUGAUAUGCUGAAUCUGUCCCAGCCAAUGGAAUUAGGUCAACGCGGAUUGCUCGGAGUAAUUAUAUAACACCACAGAACUCUGGUGUUGCAGUAUCUGCUCAGAAUUAGCCACACAGCUCUGAAAAUCCCACUACAGCCUAGAACAUUUUCCCAAGUUCACAGUAGCGCAGUUGCCAUUUGACAUUUCAAAAAAUAAAUUCGCUUUAUGGAAACACGCCAGUUAAAAAAAGAAGACAGAAAGGAA